rnacentral:rRNA from 1 species
AGAGCGAACGCUGGCGGCAGGCCUAACACAUGCAAGUCGAACGGAUCCUUCGGGAUUAGUGGCGGACGGGUGAGUAACACGUGGGAACGUGCCUUUUGGUUCGGAACAACUCAGGGAAACUUGAGCUAAUACCGGAUGUGCCCUUCGGGGAAAGAUUUAUCGCCAUUAGAGCGGCCCGCGUCUGAUUAGCUUGUUGGUGAGGUAAAGGCUCACCAAGGCUACGAUCAGUAGCUGGUCUGAGAGGAUGAUCAGCCACAUUGGGACUGAGACACGGCCCAAACUCCUACGGGAGGCAGCAGUGGGGAAUCUUGCGCAAUGGGCGAAAGCCUGACGCAGCCAUGCCGCGUGAAUGAUGAAGGUCUUAGGAUUGUAAAAUUCUUUCACCGGGGAAGAUAAUGACUGUACCCGGAGAAGAAGCUCCGGCUAACUUCGCGCCAGCAGCCGC